AGCGAACGCUGGCGGCAGGCCUAACACAUGCAAGUCGAACGGAUCCUUCGGGAUUAGUGGCGGACGGGUGAGUAACACGUGGGAACGUGCCCUUUGGUUCGGAACAACUCAGGGAAACUUGAGCUAAUACCGGAUGAGCCCUUCGGGGGAAAGAUUUAUCGCCAUUGGAGCGGCCCGCGUCUGAUUAGCUAGUUGGUGAGGUAAAGGCGCACCAAGCCUACGAACCAUAGCUGGUCUGCGAGGAUGAUCAGCCACACUGGGACUGAUACACGGCCCAGACUCCUACGGGAGGCAGCAGUGGGGAAUCUUGCGCAAUGGGCGAAAGCCUGACGCAGCCAUGCCGCGUGAAUGAUGAAGGUCUUAGGAUUGUAAAAUUCUUUUACCAGGGACGAUGAUGACGGUACCUGGAGAAAAAGCCCCGGCUAACUUCGUGCCAGCCGCCGCUGUAACAC
rnacentral:rRNA from 1 species